AGCGUAGACGGCACGGCAAGCCAGAUGUGAAAGCCCGGGGCUCAACCCCGGGACUACAUUUGGAACUGCUGAGCUAGAGUGUCGGAGAGGCAAGUGGAAUUCCUAGUGUAGCGGUGAAAUGCGUAGAUAUUAGGAGGAACACCAGUGGCGAAGGCGGCUUGCUGGACGAUGACUGACGUUGAGGCUCGAAAGCGUGGGAGCAAACA
rnacentral:rRNA from 1 species